rfam:Sodalis praecaptivus strain HS1, complete genome.
GACCCAUCAGGAGAUGACAUUCCUCCUUAUAACCGCCGUUCUGGCUGAUGAUGUCUACGUUCGC